GAGCUCCUGCCCCCCGACCCCCCAGGACCCGGCCCCGCUGCCAGGAACCCGCUGGGGGGCCCGGGAGGCUCUGAGGACGGGGGGCGGGUGCUGGUGACGGGGCUCCACGCCUGCGGGGACCUCAGCCCGGCCCUGCUGAGCCACUUCGCCCGCAGCCCCCCGGCUGCCCCACAGGCUACCCCCUGAGCACCUCAGUGGCCGCGCUGCCGGGCCACCAGCUGUCCUACCGCGCACGGGAGGCCGCGUGCCACGCACUGGAGGAGUUUGAGGGGCGGCUGUGCAGGGACAGUCCCCAGCUGCGAGCCCACUGCUACCGUGCCGUGCUCGAGAGCCUCAUCUGCACCGCUGACCCCACCAAGAGGCACCUGGGCCUGCAGCCAGGCAGGAAGGCGCAUACCCUCAGCUUCUCCCAGUGAGUUUGGGCGGGGGGACCUUCUUCUGCAUCCCCUGGUGGUCCCCAGUGAGUCUGGGGAGGUGGGACCCCUUUCUGGGACAUCUGCUGGCCCCGAGUUUGGGGAUGGAGGAUCCUUUUCUGGAAGUCUCCUUGUGAGUUUGGGGAGUAGGGACACUCUACUGUGUCCCCUCCUGGCCCCACAGUGAGUUUGGGGACGGGGGAGUCCUGCCUGGGACUCCCCUGCCCCCUUUCAUGACAGAUACGCCCACCUGGGGCUGCCUCUUGCGGGACUGGACCCAGCGGGGGUUCCGCUGGACUCGGGGGCCGUGGGGGCCAUGCUGGAGCAGCAGCACAAGGUGGUGGCAUUCUGCACCUUGGGGCAGCUUCUGGCACCUGCCGUGGAGACCCUCAUCCUGCUUGACCGUCUGCUCUACCUGCGGGAGCAAGGUUUCCACUGUGCCCUUGUGCCCCUCUUCAACCCCCGGUUCUCUCCGCGGAACCUGGUGCUGGUGGCCGCACGGACCCCGCUGGCCACAGUGCUGGCCGGGCUGGACAGGGACAGUGAGGAUAGCAGUGAGGACACAGACAGCAGCGAGGACAAGGAUCUGGGGGAAUCAGAGUCCCCCAGAGUGGGGCAGAGCCCUCACUGCCCUGGGCACAGAGCACAAUAAAGCCAGGAUUCAUAUGGUUUGGGUGUGAGUGAGUCAGUGCUGCUCCAAAAACACUGCACGCUACUAACACAAAAAAUCAAGGGAGGUGCUUAUUGCAGAGCCCAGCUUGUGGAGGUUUCCAGCUCCUCCAGUUAAUACCAGUAGGAUUUCUUGGCCCGGCGUGUCUCCACGAUCCCCAUGGCAUCCAUGAUCUCCUCCUCGAAGGUCUUCAGGGAUGGCCGGUACGUCUUGGCCAGCGCAUCCUCCUCUGAUGUGUCCUUGGGGCCAUCUGUGCAGGUGAGGGGACAGCGCUGACUCCCUGUGUCCCCCCGGGGACAUCCCCCCAGCCUCUGCCACCGUGGCACUCACCCACCCACUGCUCGGGGACGACGCCGUCCUGGCGUGGCUGGGGGGGCACGGGCAGGAUGCGGCCGCUGCGCAGCGACACGCGGACGCGCUCGCCCUCCUCCGUGUAGCGCCACUCCACCUCCGUCGGCUUCCUGUGGGCACACGGCGUUGGCAGGGGGCAGGACUGAGGUGGGGGGCAGCACUGGGGUUCCUUCAGCUCCCCCCCAGGCCGUUACCGGUCCUCGGGGUCCACCAGGCAGAUCUGGCUGAGCAGCAGCGGUGCCUCGCUGCUGAUGUAGGUCCCAGAGUACUUGGCUGUGCGGUUGAUGUAGCGAUAGUGCUGCGAGGGCACAGCGGGGGUCACUGACAGCCCGUGGCCUCCCCGGCCUCCUCACAGCCCCCUCCAGCCCUCCCUGCUCCAGCCUCACCGUGUUCAGUCCUUCCACCACCACCCAGUUACGGGCUUGCACCACCUGGGUGACCAUCCCCUGCUUCCCCGCGUCCUUCCCGGCCAGCACCUGGACCUGCGGUAGAGAGAGGGGCACAGCUGGGACCCCCAGCCCCGCUGCCAGCCAG
rnacentral:lncRNA from 1 species